rnacentral:rRNA from 1 species
AUUGAACGCUGGCGGCAGGCCUAACACAUGCAAGUCGAGCGGAUGAAGGGAGCUUGCUCCUGGAUUCAGCGGCGGACGGGUGAGUAAUGCCUAGGAAUCUGCCUGGUAGUGGGGGAUAACGUCCGGAAACGGGCGCUAAUACCGCAUACGUCCUGAGGGAGAAAGUGGGGGAUCUUCGGACCUCUCGCUAUCAGAUGAGCCUAGGUCGGAUUAGCUAGUUGGUGGGGUAAGGGCCUACCAAGGCGACGAUCCGUAACUGGUCUGAGAGGAUGAUCAGUCACACUGGAACUGAGACACGGUCCAGACGCCUACGGGAGGCAGCAGUGGGGAAUAUUGGACAAUGGGCGAAAGCCUGAUCCAGCCAUGCCGCGUGUGUGAAGAAGGUCUUCGGAGUGGAAAGCACUUUAAGUUGGGAGGAAGGGCAGUAAGUUAAUACCUUGCUGUUUUGACGGUACCAACAGAAUAAGCACCGGCUAACUUCGUG